rnacentral:rRNA from 1 species
AGCAGUAGCCGCGGUAACACAGAGGGUGCGAGCGUUAAUCGGAUUUACUGGGCGUAAAGCGUGCGUAGGCGGCUUUUUAAGUCGGAUGUGAAAUCCCUGAGCUUAACUUAGGAAUUGCAUUCGAUACUGGGAAGCUAGAGUAUGGGAGAGGAUGGUAGAAUUCCAGGUGUAACGGUGAAAUGCGUAGAGAUCUGGAGGAAUACCGAUGGCGAAGGCAGCCAUCUGGCCUAAUACUGACGCUGAGGUACGAAAGCAUGGGGAGCAAACAGGAUUAGAUACCCCAGUAGUCCCUGUCUCUUAUAC